GUCAUCUUUAAAAAAUUUUUUUAAAAAACCUAAAAAUUAAAAAGUAAAAAACAAACCUCUCACUAAAAUGUCAGCUCUGUGAAGGCAGAGAUGGGGCUGCUGUGUGCACUGCAAUCUCUGCCAAGGUGCCCAGUCCCUGGAGACCCUCCUGUAAUAUGCUGAACAACUGGGUAAAAAGGGAGGACCUGGGCAGUAAAUGAGGUGCCCCAGCCCCCUACACCUUUUUUCACCCUGAUUACAUGAGUAAAACGUGUCGAUUGCAGCAAAAAUUUGAAAAUACAUAUGAGCAAAAGGAAGAAAAUAUAAACACUCAUGAUCCAACCACCUACACCAUGUGGAUACCAUUCCAAAUGUUUUUUCUGUAUCUAUACCUAUGUUUAUAUAAAGAUAACAUGUAUUUUUAUAAAAAUGGUUCAUGUAUUGAAUUAUAAUCUGCUGUGUUUCAUCUUCACCAUAUAUCUUAAUCACGCUUCCUUAAUAAAGGUACUUCAGCUACAUCAUUGUUAAAGGCUAUAUAAUACUCCACCAUAUAGCUAUACCAUGUAGUAUUUUACAAAUCAAGUGUUGAGCUAAAGGGGAGGUUUCCUCAAUGUCAAUAAAGGUAAAAUGCUUUAUUAUA